GAUGAACGCUGACAGAAUGCUUAACACAUGCAAGUCAACUUGAAUUUGGGUUUUUAACUUAGGUUUGGGUGGCGGACGGGUGAGUAACGCGUAAAGAACUUGCCUCACAGCUAGGGACAACAUUUGGAAACGAAUGCUAAUACCUAAUAUUAUGAUAAUAGGGCAUCCUAUAUUAUGAAAGCUAUAAGCGCUGUGAGAGAGCUUUGCGUCCCAUUAGCUAGUUGGAGAGGUAACGGCUCACCAAGGCGAUGAUGGGUAGCCGGCCUGAGAGGGUGAUCGGCCAAAAGGGGACUGAGACACGGCCCUUACUCCUACGGGAGGCAGCAGUGGGGAAUAUUGGACAAUGGACCAAGAGUCUGAUCCAGCAAUUCUGUGUGCACGAUGAAGUUUUUCGGAAUGUAAAGUGCUUUCGGUUGGGAAGAAAGAAAUGACGGUACCAACAGAAGAAGUGACGGCUAAAUACGUG
rnacentral:rRNA from 1 species